UGGCUCAGGACGAACGCUGGCGGCGUGCCUAAUACAUGCAAGUCGAGCGAGCGGAACCAACAGAUUUACUUCGGUAAUGACGUUGGGAAAGCGAGCGGCGGAUGGGUGAGUAACACGUGGGGAACCUGCCCCUAAGUCUGGGAUACCAUUUGGAAACAGGUGCUAAUACCGGAUAAUAAAGCAGAUCGCAUGAUCAGCUUUUGAAAGGCGGCGUAAGCUGUCGCUAAGGGAUGGCCCCGCGGUGCAUUAGCUAGUUGGUAAGGUAACGGCUUACCAAGGCAACGAUGCAUAGCCGAGUUGAGAGACUGAUCGGCCACAUUGGGACUGAGACACGGCCCAAACUCCUACGGGAGGCAGCAGUAGGGAAUCUUCCACAAUGGACGCAAGUCUGAUGGAGCAACGCCGCGUGAGUGAAGAAGGUUUUCGGAUCGUAAAGCUCUGUUGUUGGUGAAGAAGGAUAGAGGUAGU
rnacentral:rRNA from 1 species